rnacentral:tRNA from 1 species
AUGAGUAGUUUAAGGAAAACGAUAGGUUGUGGUUCUAUAAAUAGAUUAUUAAUUGCUCUCAUUAGU